CAGAGGUCCCGAGCGUUGUUCGGAUUCACUGGGCGUAAAGGGUGCGUAGGUGGUGAGGUAAGUCGGAUGUGAAAGCUCCGAGCUCAACUCGGAAAUGGCAUUGGAAACUACCUUGCUGGAGGGUUUGAGGGGGGACUGGAAUUCUCGGUGUAGCAGUGAAAUGCGUAGAUAUCGAGAGGAACACCAGUGGCGAAGGCGAGUCCCUGGAAAACACCUGACACUGAGGCACGAAAGCUAGGGGAGCAAACAGGAUUAGAUACCCUGGUAGUCCUAGCCGUAAACGGUGCGUAUUUGCUGUAAAAGGAAUCGACCCCUUUUGUGGCGUAGCCAACGCGUUAAAUACGCCGCCUGGGAAGUACGGUCGCAAGAUUA
rnacentral:rRNA from 1 species